rnacentral:rRNA from 1 species
UUGGCUUAGAAGCAGCCAUCAUUUAAAGAAAGCGUAAUAGCUCACUGGUCGAGUCGGCCUGCGCGGAAGAUGUAACGGGGCUAAACCAUGCACCGAAGCUGCGGCAGCGACGCUGAUGCGUUGUUGGGUAGGGGAGCGUUCUGUAAGCCUGUGAAGGUGGCCUGUGAGGGUUGCUGGAGGUAUCAGAAGUGCGAAUGCUGACAUAAGUAACGAUAAAGCGGGUGAAAAGCCCGCUCGCCGGAAGACCAAGGGUUCCUGUCCAACGUUAAUCGGGGCAGGGUGAGUCGACCCCUAAGGCGAGGCCGAAAGGCGUAGUCGAUGGGAAACGGGUUAAUAUUCCCGUACUUGGUGUUACUGCGAAGGGGGGACGGAGAAGGCUAUGUUGGCCGGGCGACGGUUGUCCCGGUUUAAGCGUGUAGGUGUGUGUUCCAGGUAAAUCCGGUUCACUUUAAC